AGCGAACGCUGGCGGCAGGCUUAACACAUGCAAGUCGAGCGGGCAUCCUCGUGGUGUCAGCGGCAGACGGGUGAGUAACGCGUGGGAACGUGCCCUUCGGUUCGGAAUAACUCAGGGAAACUUGAGCUAAUACCGGAUACGCCCUUUUGGGGAAAGGUUUGUCUGCCGAAGGAUCGGCCCGCGUCUGAUUAGCUUGUUGGUGAGGUUACGGCUCACCAAGGCGACGAUCAGUAGCUGGUCUGAGAGGAUGAUCAGCCACACUGGGACUGAGACACGGCCCAGACUCCUACGGGAGGCAGCAGUGGGGAAUAUUGGACAAUGGGGGCAACCCUGAUCCAGCCAUGCCGCGUGAGUGAUGACGGCCUUAGGGUUGUAAAGCUCUUUUAUCCGGGACGAUAAUGACGGUACCGGAGGAAUAAGCCCCGGCUAACUUCGUGCCAGCCGCCGCUGUAACAC
rnacentral:rRNA from 1 species